AUGGUUUGGCACCUCGAUGUCGGCUCGUCGCAUCCUGGGGCUGGAGUAGGUCCCAAGGGUUGGGCUGUUCGCCCAUUAAAGCGGCACGCGAGCUGGGUUUAGAACGUCGUGAGACAGUUCGGUCCCUAUCCGCCGCGCGCGCAGGAAACUUGAGAAAGGCUGUCCCUAGUACGAGAGGACCGGGAUGGACGAACCUCUGGUGUUCCAGUUGUCGCGCCAGCGGCAUUGCUGGGUAGCUAAGUUCGGAAAGGAUAACCGCUGAAAGCAUCUAAGCGGGAAACCUACCCCAAGAUUAGAUAUCCCUUCUUCGUGGAAACACGGAGAACUAAAGGCCCCUUGAAGAACACGAGGUUGAUAGGCCAGGGGUAUAAGUGUGGUAACGCAUUGAGCUUACUGGUACUAAUCGGCCGUGCGGCUUGGCCAC
rnacentral:rRNA from 1 species